CAAGUGCUCCCUCCGUCUCAAAAAACUUGUCCCUCAAAUGGAUAUAUCUAACAUCAAAUUAGUGCUACAUACAUCCAUUUGAGGGACAAGCUUGGGAUAAGCUUUUUCGGACGGAGGGAGUACUAA
rnacentral:pre_miRNA from 1 species